GACGAACGCUGGCGGCGUGCUUAACACAUGCAAGUCGAACGGAAAGGCCCUGCUUUUGUGGGGUGCUCGAGUGGCGAACGGGUGAGUAACACGUGAGUAACCUGCCCUUGACUUUGGGAUAACUUCAGGAAACUGGGGCUAAUACCUGAUAGGAGCUCCUGCUCCAUGGUGGGGGUUGGAAAGUUUCGGCGGUUGGGGAUGGACUCGCGGGUUAUCAGCUUGUUGGUGGGGUAGUGGCUUACCAAGGCUUUGACGGGUAGCCGGCCUGAGAGGGUGACCGGCCACAUGGGGACUGAGAUACGGCCCAGACGCCUACGGGAGGCAGCAGUGGGGAAUAUUGCACAAUGGGCGGAAGCCUGAGGCAGCAACGCCGCGUGCGGGAUGACGGCCUUCGGGUUGUAAACCGCUUUCGCCUGUGACGAAGCGUGAGUGACGGUAAUGGGUAAAGAAGCACCGGCUAACUACGUG
rnacentral:rRNA from 1 species